CAUUUUUUAUUAUUAUUUAAGUCUUAGUGGCAUAUAAACACAAUUCAAAUGAGUAAAAGCAUGCAAGUUCUGAUUAGCUUUCAGAAGACCAGUCACGAAGUGGCUGAUAAAUGAAAAUGUUCUUUGAACUGUAAAAGCCUGUCCAUGUCCUCUGUAAGUAUCCAAAUAUUUCAAUGUAAACACACAACAGAUUCCAGUAGUCUAAAAACUUGCAUUCAUUUUUGCAU